GGAGCUAAUACCGGAUAAGAUUUUGAACCGCAUGGUUCAAUAGUGAAAGACGGCCUUGCUGUCACUUAUAGAUGGAUCCGCGCCGUAUUAGCUAGUUGGUAAGGUAACGGCUUACCAAGGCAACGAUACGUAGCCGACCUGAGAGGGUGAUCGGCCACACUGGAACUGAGACACGGUCCAG
rnacentral:rRNA from 1 species